rnacentral:lncRNA from 1 species
GGAAAUACUCAGACCAUUAAAAUGAUUUGUGAGUUUUUAGAAAAGGAAGCAAAGGUAACAAGUAUUAUCAUCUUGGAUUUCCAAAAACAAAGCAUGCCAGAUCAGCCUACUUGUAAAUUUCUAUAGUUACUAACAUAGUACAUAAGGCAAUGCUUUAGAUAGGAUAUAGCUGCAUAUUACUGUGCAUUUGACAAUCCUUACCACAUGGAAUUGUUGAGGGCAAGGAGAAAUACAAGCCAUGAUGAUAGCAUGGCUGGCAGGUUUAGAACUUGUGGUUUGAUGCUAACUUGAGCUCAUUUCUGGUGCUGUGCUAGGGGGUUCCCAGCUUUGUCAUAGAGAACAUGUUUAUCAAUAGCAUGGAUCAUUUGAGGGGUGACAUGGAACUGGAUAGGAUGGUGAACACACUGAAAAACAGAGGAGACAUUCAACAGUAGACACUGUAGGCAGAUUUGUGGGGUUAGCGGACUAUGGGCGUCAUGAGUCAACAGUGUGGCGUGGCCGCCCUACAGUGGAUCUAAGGUGUGGAGACUCAAGGAAAGGCCCCUUUUGCUACUUGAUGAAAUGCCUACCACCUCCCACUAGAAGCUUUUGUUUCAUUGGUUUAUGCUGAAGGAUGCUAAGUUGUGUUAACAGCAUUACAGAGAGAAGGAGAACUUAAAAAUCUUGUAAUGCAGAAGAAGCUGAGGGCACUUACCCUGUAACCAAAAGGACUUUGAUGAGGGGUGGGGUGUGCAGGUGGACAGGUGGACAUGGUCUUAAACUUUUCAAAGACUGCUCCCAAAAAAGAGGGAUUGGAGGCCAGACACGGUGGCUCAUGCCUGUAAUCCCAGCACUUUGGGAGGCCAAGGCGGGUGGAUCACCUGAGGUUGGGAGUUGAGACCAGCCUGACAAACAUGGAGAAACCCCAUCUCUACUAAAAAUACCAAAAAAUUAGCCAGGCGUGGUGGCAUAUGCCUGCAAUCCUGUCUACUCGGGAGGCUGAGGCAGGAGAAUCGCUUGAACUCAGCAGGCGGAGGUCGUGGUGAGCCAAGAUUGCACCAUUGCACUCCAGCCUGGGCAACAAGAGCGAGACUCCAUCUCAAAAAAAAAAAAAAAAGGGGGAUUGGAUUGUUCUGUUUCUCCCUGGAGCGUCAAUGUAAAACCAAUGAGCAAUGGUGAGAGUUUUCCGAAACCAGAAUGGGCUUCCUAGAGCGUCGGGCGUCCCUCUCACUGCAAGUGUGUUGGCAGAGAAGGGAUGCUCAGGAGGUGGCAGGGUACUGGGGACCGGACGCACCUGAAGGAAGCAGAUCUGACGACCAACCUGGAACAGCCCUUCCCAGCCUAUUAUCCCACAAGAAAAUGCACAUGUGAUGAUGAAGCCUGUGUUCUCCUGAAUGAUCCCCUCUCCUCUCCUCCACUCCUGCAAGCAGAAUUCCUCCUAUCAGAGCCAACUUUUUUCUAUUGCAUGGUGUUGAGUAUUGUGUUUUUCACAGAACAAGCAUCAAUAAAUAUUUGCCCAAAUGUCACAUGUACCAAGAAGGCUGAGAAGACUGAUUUCCCCAGAGACCUGGCAGUCUGGAUCUGAGGCUGUAUGAAUUAUUAAACGCUGAGGAUAAAGUAACCUUUUCUACUGUAUCCAUGUACCUAGGUAGCAAUGAUUUUUCCUAAAGGAUGGGCUGUUAUGAGAACCAGUUUUUAGUAACAUUUGUCUCACAGAAAACCCAUUUUUUUUUAGCUGUGUGUGGUGGUGGGUACCUGUAAUACCAGCUACUCAGGAGGCUGAGGCAGGAGAAUCACUUGAACCCGGGAAGUGGAGGUUGCAGUGAGCUAAGAUUGCACCACUGCACUCCAGCCUGGGCAACAAGAGCAAAACUCCAUCUCAAAAAAAAAAAAAAAAAA